AGAAAGACCAACAGGGAUUGCCUCAGUAACGGCGAGUGAAGCGGCAACAGCUCAAAUUUGAAAUCUGGCUUCUGGCCCGAGUUGUAAUUUGCAGAGGAUGUUUCUGGCGAGGUACCUUCCGAGUUCCCUGGAACGGGACGCCAUAGAGGGUGAGAGCCCCGUACGGUUGGCCGCUAAGCCUAUGUGAAACUCCUUCAACGAGUCGAGUAGUUUGGGAAUGCUGCUCUAAAUGGGAGGUAUACGUCUUCUAAAGCUAAAUAUAGGCCAGAGACCGAUAGCGCACAAGUAGAGUGAUCGAAAGAUGAAAAGCACUUUGAAAAGAGGGUUAAAUAGUACGUGAAAUUGUUAAAAGGGAAGCGCUCAUGACCAGACUUGGACCGGUUGAUCAUCCAUCGUUCUCGGUGGUGCACUCUGCCGGUUCAGGCCAGCAUCAGUUUGGUCCGGGGGAUAAAGGUUUCGGGAAUGUGGCUCCCCCCGGGGAGUGUUAUAGCCCGUUGCGUAAUACCCUGGACUGGACUGAGGUACGCGCUCCGCAAGGAUGCUGGCGUAAUGGUCAUCAGUGACCCGUCUUGAAACACGGACCAAGGAGUCGUCUUCGUAUGCGAGUGUUCGGGUGUCAAACCCCUACGCGGAAUGAAAGUGAACGUAGGAGAGAGCUUCGGCGCAUCUCCGACCGAUCCUGAUGUUCUCGGAUGGAUUUGAGUAAGAGCAUACGGGGCCGGACCCGAAAGAANGUGAACUAUGCCUGUAUAGGGUGAAGCCAGAGGAACUCUGGUGGAGGCUCGCAGCGGUUCUGACGUGCAAAUCGAUCGUCAAUAUGGGCAUGGGGGCGAAAGACUAAUCGAACCUUCUAGUAGCUGGUUUCGCCGAG
rnacentral:rRNA from 2 species